rnacentral:rRNA from 1 species
UACGUAGGGGGCUAGCGUUGUCCGGAAUCAUUGGGCGUAAAGCGCGUGUAGGCGGUUCGGUAAGUCUGCUGUGAAAGUCGGGGGCUCAACCCUCGAAUGCCGGUGGAUACUGUCGGACUAGAGUGCGGAAGAGGCGAGUGGAAUUCCUGGUGUAGCGGUGAAAUGCGCAGAUAUCAGGAGGAACACCAAUUGCGAAGGCAGCUCGCUGGGACGUUAACUGACGCUGGAGACGCGAAAGCGUGGGGAGCAAACAGG